rnacentral:misc_RNA from 1 species
CAAGGGUAAGAAGCCACCCCUUGAAAAAUGCUAUUACAAAUCCUCCAAUGAAUGUUGAUACGUACUGAAGAAAUUUCCCUACCUUCUCCCCCAUGGCAUCUUGUAUAAGGACAGUGUCACCAGACAUUCUACCAAUGACCUCGCCAGUGUUUGUUUCCUUGUCAAAGAAAGCAAUAUCUUGUCUCAGUAUGGUUUUCAAAUAUAAUCCUCUUAUUCGUGCAGCCUGUCGCUCUCCUGUGAUCAUCCAGCACGCCACCUGGAGAAAUGAGGCUGCAGCAGAUCCCAAUGCCAAGUAGACAAAUUUUAGAGACACCUUGGAAACUACAUGCACCAAAUCUUUGUUAUUUUGGUUUUCACCAAAAGCAUCAAUCAUAUCACCAAGAAAUAUAGUCAUCAGGGGCAUGGCACCAAUUGUUCCAAUGAUCAUCAACAUAACAUCUGCCGAAUCUGCAAAUGAAAAGAGUCUGUGAAAUGGAACUGAGUUAGUUCCCUCGUCUCUCUUCUCUGUCUCUUGCAGGUGCCCAUUUACCACGGAGUCUUUCCCCUUCUCUUCACGGCUUUUUGACUUGCUGGCCUCAUUGGUACUCGUAACACUGUUUACACCAUUCCCCACAGACAUAAUGCCCAGCACAAGAUAUUAAUCUCUGAAGGUUUACUAAUUGCUCGUAGAAUGUAUUGUACUUGUAUUGCAGCAUUUUACGAGCUCGAUUCUGAUUCUAAUCCAAUCAUGGAGGUUGCCUAACCUCUCUCGCCGCUGUAGGAGGGUCAGAGAAUAAGCAACCAGCCUCACUUCCACCACCACCACCACAUCUUCCAAUUCCCAUUCCUCUCGACAUUUAUACCAUAACUCAUGGCGGCGGUGUCGAUGCCCGCUACUGACGAAAUGGAGAGGAGAUGAAUGGUCAAAGGUUGCGGAACAGGUUCUCUGAAGGGUGCAUAUCAUCGUUGAG